rnacentral:rRNA from 1 species
GAUGAACGCUGGCGGCGUGCCUAAUACAUGCUAGUCGAGCGAAUGGACGAGAAGCUUGCUUUUCUGAUGUUAGCGGCGGACGGGUGAGUAACACGUGGAUAACCUACCUAUAAGACUGGGAUAACUUCGGGAAACCGGAGCUAAUACCGGAUAAUAUUUUGAACCGCAUGGUUCAAAAGUGAAAGACGGUCUUGCUGUCACUUAUAGAUGGAUCCGCGCUGCAUUAGCUAGUUGGUAAGGUAACGGCUUACCAAGGCAACGAUGCAUAGCCGACCUGAGAGGGUGAUCGGCCACACUGGAACUGAGACACGGUCCAGACUCCUACGGGAGGCAGCAGUAGGGAAUCUUCCGCAAUGGGCGAAAGCCUGACGGAGCAACGCCGCGUGAGUGAUGAAGGUCUUCGGAUCGUAAAACGCUGUUAUUAGGGAAGAACAUAUGUGUAAGUAACUGUGCACAUCUUGACGGUACCUAAUCAGAAAGCCACGGCUAACUACGU